rnacentral:rRNA from 1 species
GACGAACGCUGGCGGCGGGCUUAACACAUGCAAGUCGAACGGAAAGGCCCUGGUUUGGUGGGGUGCUCGAGUUGCGAACUGGUGAGUAACACGUUAGUAACCUGCCCUUGACUUUGGGAUAACUUCAUGAAACUGGGGCUAAUACCGGAUAGGAGCUCCUGCUGCAUGGUGGGGGUUGGAAAGUUUCGGCGGUUGGGGAUGGAAUCGCGGCUUAUCAGCUUGUUGGUGGGGUAGUGGCUUACCAAGGCUUGGACGGGUAGCCGGCCUGAUAGGGUGACCGGCCACAUUGGGACUGAGAUGAGGCACAGCCUCCUACGGGAGGCAGCAGUGGGGAAUAUUGCACAAUGGGCGGAAGCCUGAUGCAGCCAAGCCGCGUGCGGGAUGACGGCCUUCGGGUUGUAAACCGCUUUCGCCUGUGACGAAGCGUGAGUGACGGUAAUGGGUAAAGAAGCACCGGCUAACUACGUG